UAAACUCUGUUAUCGCAGCCACCACCCCAACUCUCAUACACUGGCCUUCCAUAGCACCAAUCAUACUGCCUCUCUCGCCCGUAGCCAAGCUGGUAACACGGUCCCCCACCACGCCCCUCAGAACAUUCCGUGCAACAUGCCCUAACAGGUGAGUAACACGGUCCACCACCACGCCCCUCGGAACAUUCCCUGCAACAUGCCCUAACAGGUGAGUAACACGGUCCCCCACCACGCCCCUCGGAACAUUCCCUGCAACAUGUCCUAAUUGGUGAGUAACACGGUCCCCCACCACGCCCCUCGGAACAUUCCCUGCAACAUGUCCUAACGGGUAGGUAACACGGAACGGGCUCCGGAGCCGGUGCCGGUGCCGGAGGCGGCGGUGGGGCUGGUGAUGGUUUUGGUUGGGGAGCCGGUGCCGGGGGUGGUGGCGAUGGUGAAGGUUUCGGUGGUGGUGGUGACGGUUUUGGUUCCGGAGCCGGUGCCGGCGGUGGUUUUGGUUUUGGCGGCGGCGGCGGCUUUGGCUUUGGUGGUUCCAGGAUUUCAAUAGUCUUGAUUGAACCAUCACCUUUGCAGCAUAGCUUGUCCCUGAUCUUUUCAGGACUGCAGCACACUACUUUUAUUGUCACCGUAUUCGUCUUCUCAUCGAAAAACUGUUCUUGUAUUUCUUUGGUCAAAAAGUUCAAACACAAUAUCUUAGCCCACCAUCCGCCAGCCAUUUUUUUAUUUGCAAACACAAAAUAAACAAUUCUACUUGCGCCUCACCAAAUGACACGCGAAUUCAGAAUUUUAUGCCAUUAUAAAACAUUUUACGAAACCAUAAUAUAUAAUAUAUGUAAAUGGACAUGGCCAGCGAUCAGAGAGACACUUACGUGGGAAUUUGCACAGUACUUUCUUGACUUUCUUGUAGCACUUUGAGCACUGAAGGUUAACCUUCAGCACCAUUAUUGUAACCUUCUGUAAACAAUAGUACACAGAUAAUACAAAAGUAUUUUUCAGCAGGCUAAUUAAUUAAAGAUAAAAGAGAGACAUUUAAUUAAUUUCUGACAUGAAAGAAUCAGCAAGGUAACUAUAUAUCUCCGUGUAUAUAUACACUAUAAGCUAUCAUCACGAAAGAUCGAUCGAUGCACAGCACAAACUUAACCAAAAGGGGAAUUACGAACCUUCUCUCCCAUAGCUGCUCGGAUCUGAACCUCAGGAAACCGGACACUGAUUAUUUGAAGCGUUAAUGUGACAGCAGGUAUGGAAAAGGGUCUUAUAAAUAAGUGCGCCAAUUUGAAACUUGUUUAAGAAGGGAAGGAAAAGUAAGGGCUUGAAUUCCGUACAUUAUACAUAACCAAUUAUCUGCCGACACGUCUUAUUGGAUGACGUCGAAUUUCAUGAUAUCAUCAAGGUUGUCGUUAUCUCCGUACAUAGUAAGUCUUUCUUCACAUUUAUGUAUGAUUGCUGACUCACCCAUUCUCCAUUGCAUUUGCAUGUGCUGCCUUUUGAUUGAUUGCCCUUUUCUCUGUUUUUCUUUUUUUUUUUUUGCUUUGCUUUUUUUUUUUCUUUUAUGUCUAAAGGAAAAUUUUUUGUCUUUCUCAUUUGAGCAAUAGUCAUAUUUCUUUACCUAAUUGAAAAUUAAAAAUAAAAAUAAAUAAGGGAAAAUGGACUUUAAUUGAACAACUGAUGUGAGAUCUAGGUAUAGAAAUUUACAUUCACCAACUCUUCCUAACCGUCAAAUUUGAUGCAUUUUUCGAACCCAGCACCUUGUGCCAUGGAUCGAGCAUUCAUUCUACAAACAGAGUAAUUGAUGAAAUAAUUUAAUCGAGCUAUUGGAAGUUUCACCAACCUAAAGUAAUCAUUGUCCUUAACCCAUAAACAAAGGGCCCAAUGAUCAAUUAAUAUAAGCUUUUGGAAGUUCAACCAAUCCCCGUAAGUAUACCUCCAACACUAAGGUAGCUAUUAUGGGCUUGUGGGACCCGCAUACUUAAUGCCUAAGUUAAGUGUCACAUCACUAAUUUAAUUUUAGAUUGGCCACACUCCAAGUAAUUAAAAAAGAUAAUGUUAUUAGUUUACCAGAAGCAGUUGUGACGCCUUGGCACCCACCUCCGCUUGGCCAUUUUAAAUUAAAUGUUGAUGCAGUCAUGGGGGAUGGUGGUGUGGGGGCCGUCGAUGGGUUAUCGGUUGCAAUUGAGGCAGGACUGACAUUGUUCAGAGAUUAUUUAAUUUUUAGCUUCGUGGUUUAUGUUGUCCAACGCUAUCUCACCAUUGUUAUUUAAGAUUAUUUUCUGAAACAUUAUCUCACCCAUAUUAUUGUUCAAAAAGAAAUUAAAGUAAAAAGCAGAUGGCCAAUUUAUCUCUUGUAUCAAUUCUUCUAUUCCUCUUCUUCAUUUAUGGUAAAAAUAACCAUUUUUCUUAAGUGUUUUAUGUAGCAUUUUUGUACUUAAUUUAUGCAAUGCUAUAAAAGAUCAAAUUUGAAUUUUAAAGAAUUAUUAUUAUUAUUAUUAUUAUUAUUAUUAUUAUUAUUAUUAUUUAUCAGGAACUGGGAAGAUAAUUGCCGAGACUCAGGAGAUAGAGCUCUGCAAGACAGCUAUUAUGUCCCAAAAAGAAUUUUGCUUUUGAAGCAUCACUUUCCCAAAAAGAAAUUCCAAAAAUUAUGUCUAAUUAAAAUCUUUUAGAAUCUCCCCAAGGUUUGAUUGCAUGGUUUUUAAACAGUUAUAAGCAGUUUUCAAGAAAUUGUUUUUUAUUAGUACUGAUUUGAACCUUAAGGAAGUUUGAGUUAAAAAAAUUGAUUUGGACUUAAUGGACUCCCUUAUCUUUAAAAGAAAAUGUAUCCUGCAGAAUUCGAAAGAAAUAAUUAAAAAAAAAUAAAACAAUGGAAUAAUUCAGAAAGAGAAAAUAAGAAGCACAUGUAAAAAGUAUUUUUCUAAUGAAUUUAUUUCAAUUUUUUGAUUUUAUAAAUAAAAACUCAAGGGUGAAAAAUUUUAAUGAGUAACGGUCGUUAAUGAAAAAUUUUAAUGAGUAAGGGUUGUUAUAUAUUUAACGAUGAAAUUAAAAGAAAAUAGUGUAAAUGAAAAAAAAAAAUAACAGAAGCGAUGAGAGUGAUUCUGAGAAGAGUUAGAGAUUAUUGUGGGUUGUCUAUGGUAUAGAGUAGGAAGAUUAAGUUAAAUAAAUUAGUUUGAUUUAUCUAAAUAAAUUAUUUCAUUAUAAAAUAGAAUUUACUCAUUGGUAAAGUACUGUAUAGAUGUUUUGGUUUUAUAUAAAUUUAUUAGAAGAGAUGAAUAUAAGGAGUAUUUUUAUCGAAUUCAAAAAGCUCAUAACUUUUCACUUGUAAUCAAUUUUUCUACCAUAAAUUUUUGUAUGAUUUUGGUCCCUAUGGGUAGAAGAAUUUAAAGGGGGCCAAAAUCAUAGAGGUAAACGUUUAGGGGUCAAAGUCUAAAAAGAGUAAAUUAUUUUGGUAAAAUGUCAAGAUAAAUUAAAGUUUCAGAGCCACCUCCCGCCUUUUUUUCAUUUAGCAAAAUAAUACUUUCAUGUAUUAUGCCGAGGUAGAUGUGAUGGACCUUUUUAAUAUUUAAAUUUUAUGAUAAAUAAUGAUGUGUCAUUUAUAAGAGAAAUUUUAUAAUAUAUUAGAGGUAGUACAUCAACUAAUACAUGUAUGACAUGUAUAUAUAGACUUGAUAUAACCUUUAUUUGCAUAAUAAUUUUUUAAAAUAAAUGUACAUAUAUUAUAAUAUAACUUGUUUAUUGUAUACCUGAUAUGAUACAUCUGAUUUAUUUUAGAAUUUUUCAUGUGAUUAAAAUUUUUUAUAAAGUUCUAAAUAAAUUAUUUUAUACCUGACAUUACUAUUGAAGAAUAUAUUGACAGAUAUUGUGGAAUAUUUAUAUGUAACUUAUUAGAAUUUAUACAAAAAUUGCAUAUAAAAUUACGAGAGCUUCUGUUCACUUUAAAUUAAUCAAUCUAACAAGAAUUUAAUUAAGGCUUCAUGCAUAUAACAAAGGCGAAGUGUAAGUUGUAAAAAGGCCAAAAAAAAAAUGUAUUGACAAUUUUCCAUUCUAGAUUCUAAAUUUCAAUAAACAUCUAAUUUAUCAACAAGCAUGUUCGUUCUUUUUAUGAUUGAAUGUUGAAAUAAACAGUGUAAGAUCCAUCUCUUAUGCUUGGUAAUGGCACCAAAAGAAAACUCCUCUUUGCUCCCUUUGCAACAAAGCGGAUAGGAUGAUAAUUCUUUUUCCAUUGCGAAGCAAACUACACUGUUAUAUCCAAACUCUGUUGACACUGAAUUGCAACUGACCUUCAUGCUUUCGCCCGAUUUCAAGUUAACACUAGUAGAAACGAAGCAACCCUUUUGGGUUACUGACUCCAAGGCUACUGUUUCAGCCUUUCCAUCCCAUCCGGUAACAAGGCGAAAAAUGGAGGAGCCAUGAACACUAGAAGAGUCUGCGACAACAAGUUCAUCAUCUGUUCCUUGCACUACAAGCAUUCCUGGGGAAGCAAAUAGUUCUAGCAUGACUGAUCUGCCAAUUGCAUCGCUGAGGGAUGAAAAUUCGGAGGAAGGUUUAUCGUUUAAGAUGAAUCUUAAAGUGGCUUGAAGGGCAAUGUCAGUGCCAGAUUUAGGGGAUUCUGCCAUUGGAAUAGAUUGUCAAGACAAAAGUCGAGUUUCUGGAAACUUUGGAAAAUGUGACCAGCUGAAAUUAUAUGAUGCAGGAAUUGGAGCAACAACUUCUGAAAGAGAUGUUGCUGAUUCAGUCCUGAUAUCGGAGUCCCCAUUGCUGUAGCUCGUAGGCAGAUAAGACCGUGGUGAAUGGCCGAUCAGCUGAAGAAGAAAAAAGAUUUUCAGUCAAAGAUUUUUCAUUGAUAACAGAAAUUGUAAACAAAACAGUUCAUGAAGAUUCCAUCGAUAGGCUCUGUCCUUAGAAUAAGGGGCAGCUGAAUGGUUAAUUUGUCAUCAUAUGUCCAUGCUGUGGUGAUACUUGGAAAUUUCGUGCAUCGGGAAUGUAACUGUUUGUUACAUGUCUUUAUAAAAGAUGAAACCCCACUUUUAAUUUUUCUAUCUGAAAUAAAAAAUUGAAAAACAAUCAAAGAUAUUAUAAUUCAGCACCUGCCGAUGGUAGAGGCAAAUCCUGGCCAUUUAAUGUUGCCUUUGCUCCAUUAGUAUUUGUCCACCUCGAUAUUCUGAAACCAAAGGAUAGUGAUCGAGCUGCUCCCUGGAUAUACAUCAAAUCCAGAAUGUGUGAUGGAUGAACUUCUCAUUACAAUGUUAAAAAAUAAACACCAAGUUUGAUAGCCAGUACCUUAGGAAGAAAUGUGAAUGUGAUAUGACGAUAAGGAUCUGAAGAAACAACAGGAUCAACUUUCUGGUUGGGCAGAAUAUGUCCAGAUUUCCAAUCAAGUGAGCUCGAUAUGUACCGAAUGAUGUAAAGACCAGGAUAUAAUCCUUCCUCUUCAAAGUAAAUUGAAUAUCCCAACUUUGCGAAUGACUUAAUUCCUCCAUGGGAAACAAGAAUAAAAUCUAGUAUACCAAUUGGCGGAAACUGUGCAAAUUUAGAAAGCAACUCAUGAGAUUCAAGAACAUUGAGAGUAAAGAGAAAAAAUGGGCAAUGAAUACCAGACAUGUGCCAUAACAGCACCAGAAUGAAUUUAAUUAAUGCGUAAACAAAUUUUAUUCAACUUUAUUUCUAAUCCAGUCAUUAACAUUCUUAUAGCAAUUUAACUCUAAGAUUUACCUAACACAUACGACUACUUUUAAAACUCACGACACUUUUUAAAAUAAAUUUUACUAAAUGUUUAAUUGAUUCUCUUUACAGUUGAAUAUAUUUAUAAUACAGCUAACAAUAAUUAUUUUAAAAAAUACAUCAUUACCAAAUAGGCCGCCAAUAAUUGGAAAACUAAUUGUAGCAUUAACAAACUCUACAUUCACCAACCUUUAUUUAUCUUUGAUUUUCCUAUAGAGUCUAUAUUACCCAAAAUGUUAAAGAUUAAACCAGCAUACAAGAAGCAACUAGAAGAAAGUAAACGAUAUGAUCACUGACGAUUACCAUUCAUGAUCAUUGAUUUAUGAGAUUGUGCAAGACAGUGGUGGAUUUCCUUCACAGGUGGAAUCUAACGACCACGGGUGCAAAUGAACAGCGACCACAAGUGCAAUAUGAACAGCGACCACAAGUGCAAUCUGACCAGCGACCUCUCCAAUAAACUCUAUUAUGGCAGCUACCACCCCAGCUCUCAUACACUAGUCUUGCAUAGAUCACAAUGCCUCUCUUGCCCCAAGCCAAGCUGGUGACACGGUCCCCAACCAUGACCCUCAGAACAUUGCUUGCAACAUACCCUAACCGAUGUGUAACACGGCACUGGCACCAGGGGUGGUAGUGGUGGUUUUGGGUUUUCCCCAUCCGGUUGUGGCGGGUUUUUUUUUAUCCCCAUCCGGUUGUGGUGGUUUUUUGUUAUCCCCAUUCGGUUGUGGCGGGUUUUUUUUAUCCCCAUCCGGUUGUGGCGGUUUUUUGUUAUCCCCAUCCAGUUGUGGUGGUCUAGGGUUAGGCUUUUUAUCAGGUUCCAGGAUUUCAAUAGUCUUGAUUGAACCAUCACCUUUGCAGCAUAGCUUGUCCCUGGUCUUUCAGGACUGCAGCACACUACUUUUAUUGUCA
rnacentral:lncRNA from 1 species